GCUCCUUCCCAACUGCUGUCCUCCCCUUAUGGCGGCCCUGGGGACUGUGAGGUGGUGUGACAGAGAGAAAGCUUCCAUCCCAGUUGUGCCACUUGUUCUGCAGGCCGGGAAGUCCAAGAUCAAGCUGCUGGCAGGUUCAGUUGUCUGUUGAGGGCAGCUCUCUGCAUCCAAGAUGGCACCUUGUUGCUGCAUCCUCUGGAAGGGAGGAACACUUGUGUCCUCAGGUGGUGGAAAGGACAGAAGAGCAAAAGGGAAGGAAUGCUGUGUCCUCGCAUGGCAGAAGAGGAGAAGCCAACAAACCAACUCCUUCAAGCCCUUUUAUAAGGGCCCUAAUCCCAUCCAUGAAUGCUCCACCCUCAUGACUCACCUCCGAAAGUCCCUGCCUCUUAAUACUGUCAUAUUCGCUUUACGUUUCGACACAUGAAUUUUGGGGGACACAUUCAGACUGUAGCACCCUCCUUUGAACUCCACCUCCAGUAAGAUAGCCCUUCUGCCUAACCCUGCCUGCCUCAUGCCUCUCCUUAGUUCAUAACACCCCUCUUUCAUCUGAGCUUGUUUGCAUUUGCUUGCUUUUGCUGUAGCAGGGAUCAUGCUGGAUUGGGAGUCUGAGCACUGACUCUGGGCCCAGCUCUGUGACUCACCCACUGAGUAUUCCUGGGCAAGGCCUUUGACCUCUCUGGGCCUCAGUUUCCCUCUCUGUAGUCUGUUUGCUAGUUGCUCUCCCCCUCUAGACUGUGAGCUCUCUAAUUGCAGGGACAGGUCUCUGGUCCAUUGCUGUAGUUCCAGCCCCCUGUACAGGCACAUAGUAGGUGUUUAAGAAGUGUUAAAUGACCAGAGAUAAUAAUGGGCUGCCCUGUACCCUCCUCUUCCACUCCUAUUCAGAUUUUUCCACCCUGGUUCAGUCUCCUUAGGGCCCUGCUAUCCCUGCAAAGGUCUGAGAAACUCAUGGCAAAGCCUUCAUUGGGCUAAUGGCCCUACCAUUCCUAAAAGAGGCCAGGAGCGAGAUACUUUAAGCUCCAAGAUAGAGGUAGGGUGGAGACCUUGGGGCCUCUGGCAACUCCAACUUGUUCCCUGCUAUGCCACCUCCAAGCAGGGGUGGCUGUGAGUGUGUGAAUGAGUGGGCCUUCAAUCCGCAGGGGCAUCAGCUCCACUACAAGCUGCCUUGCUCAGCGAAAUGGCAGUAUAACCUAGUGGUUAGAAGCAUAGGUAUUGAAGUCAGAUGGCCUGAGUUCAGAUCCCAGCUUUACUUCUUAUCAGCUGGGAGACUAAGGGCAAGGCACUGAACUUCUCGGGGCCAGUUUCCUUAUCUAUAAGAUGGAGGCAAUGAUAGUGCCUGCCUCAUAGGGACCAUGUGUGUUAAUGCUAUGUGUGUGUGUGUGUGUGUGUGUGUGUGUGUGUGUGUGUGUGUGUGUGUUUCUGAUAAUGCUUGGCACCAAGUAAGCAAUCAGUAAAAAUGAAGGGGGAAGCAAGAGGGGAGCUCUUUAUCCCAAGUAAGGGUGGGGCAUCUCUCCCUUUAAUCUACUCCCUCCGCUCAUUGCCAUUACCCCAGUUUCUGGUCAGAGUUGUCCUACUUUCCCAUGGGAAAAAAGCCCAGGCUGGCUAUUCUAGUGUCACUGAUCUGGACCCAGCAGGACCCAGACCAGGGCAGAGUUUUUUAUUCUCGUGGCCUAGUCCGUCCCAGCUCCCCUGCAGCAACAAUCAGUUUCAUUUAUUUAUUUAUGCUGCGUUUGUUGAGCACCUAGUCUAUGCCACUCGCACGCUUCAAGUGUUUCUUGGAUCGAUUCUCUAAACUCUGCUUAGAGGAACUCCUACCUUAACUGUUUGACAGUCCCUUUUUCUUGAGCAUCGAGUCUCCUCCAAACUAUGGCCCUCCCA
rnacentral:lncRNA from 10 species